rnacentral:pre_miRNA from 1 species
CAACUACUCCCUCCGUCCCAAAAUUCUUGUCUUAGAUUUGUCUAAAUACGGAUGUAUCAAGUCUCGUUUUAGUAUUAGAUACAUCCGUAUCUAGAUGAAUCUAAGACAAGAAUUUUGAGACGGAGGGAGUAUUCU